UACGUAGGGUGCGAGCGUUGUCCGGAAUUAUUGGGCGUAAAGAGCUUGUAGGCGGUUUGUCGCGUCUGCUGUGAAAAUCCGGGGCUCAACCCCGGACUUGCAGUGGGUACGGGCAGACUAGAGUGUGGUAGGGGAGUGUGGAAUUCCUGGUGUAGCGGUGAAAUGCGCAGAUAUCAGGAGGAACACCAGUGGCGAAGGCGGCACUCUGGGCCGGUACUGACGCUGAGGAGCGAAAGCGUGGGGAGCGAACAGG
rnacentral:rRNA from 1 species